rnacentral:rRNA from 1 species
UUUUUUUUUUUUUUUUUUCUCGCCAGACGAACGCUGGCGGCGUGCCUAAUACAUGCAAGUCGAACGAACUCUGGUAAUGAUUGGUGCUUGCAUCAUGAAUUACAUUUGAGUGAGUGGCGAACUGGUGAGUAACACGUGGGAAACCUGCCCAGAAGCGGGGGAUAACACCUGGAAACAGAUGCUAAUACCGCAUAACAACUUGGACCGCAUGGUCCGAGUUUGAAAGAUGGCUUCGGCUAUCACUUUUGGAUGGUCCCGCGGCGUAUUAGCUAGAUGGUGAGGUAACGGCUCACCAUGGCAAUGAUACGUAGCCGACCUGAGAGGGUAAUCGGCCACAUUGGGACUGAGACACGGCCCAAACUCCUACGGGAGGCAGCAGUAGGGAAUCUUCCACAAUGGACGAAAGUCUGAUGGAGCAACGCCGCGUGAGUGAAGAAGGGUUUCGGCUCGUAAAACUCUGUUGUUAAAGAAGAACAUAUCUGAGAGUAACUGUUCAGGUAUUGACGGUAUUUAACCAGAAAGCCACGGCUAACUACGUGCCAGCAGCCGCGGUAAUACGUAGGUGGCAAGCGUUGUCCGGAUUUAUUGGGCGUAAAGCGAGCGCAGGCGGUUUUUUAAGUCUGAUGUGAAAGCCUUCGGCUCAACCGAAGAAGUGCAUCGGAAACUGGGAAACUUGAGUGCAGAAGAGGACAGUGGAACUCCAUGUGUAGCGGUGAAAUGCGUAGAUAUAUGGAAGAACACCAGUGGCGAAGGCGGCUGUCUGGUCUGUAACUGACGCUGAGGCUCGAAAGUAUGGGUAGCAAACAGGAUUAGAUACCCUGGUAGUCCAUACCGUAAACGAUGAAUGCUAAGUGUUGGAGGGUUUCCGCCCUUCAGUGCUGCAGCUAACGCAUUAACGCAUUCCG